UUCACUGUCCUGUUAGUUUUGUAACACCUGAUAGGUUUGGAGAAAUUACACCUUUUUAUCAUUCUUACUGGUACAUGAACAUACUGUAGAUGACCUCAUGUAACUCCCAGCAUAGCUUCACCCAACUUUCACAUCAUGCAGAGAUGUAAUCAACUAAAAACACCUGUUGGUGAUAGAUGGGGAAGAUCUGACGCUGAGGGGCGAACUGUUCCACAGUCUGGGAGCAGCGAUGGAAAAAGCUGGAGACCGGGAACAGAGAGAAGUAGCUGACCGGAGGAUCUGAGGUGUCUGGAUGUAGAGUACGGAAAAGACAUUGAAUUCCUCCUGAGCACAUCAGGGUCAAAUGAUGGAAUGAAGAGAUGACUUGAACACUGUCAACACGCCAGGCCUUCUGCUGCUCCUCAUCUCUUUUCCCGCAGCCUUUCCCACCAGUUCUCCCUUUGAACCCACUGCUCUCGUAAAGGUGAUACCUCAGCCACCAGACACCAGACACUCUGAGGGAGGAACGACGGUGUCACUGGUGUUACACUGGUGUUACUAUGAUCACUCUGUGA